CUAAUUAUUUUCAUUAAAAUAGAUGGACUAAAUAAUACUUUAAUAGACAUUGACUAACAAAAAAUUUAACAACCAAAUAGUGAAUCUUUCAAAACAUAAAAACUAAAUAAUUAGUUUCAUCAAAAUACAUGAAUUAAAUAAUAAUUUUUUAAUUUAAAAACUAAUUUUCUAAUUAAUAAUUAAAAUAGUAAAAAAUUUAUGUAUAGUUCAUUGAAUUUCUAUUUUAAUAUUUUUGGGGAUGGGUUGGUAUCGUCAACGAUGGCAGCAAAGUUUACAAUACUGAGUCCACUGUCUUACCAUGUGGCGAUGGAUGAGGCAAGUAGGAAGCACAUGAUGAUGGAUGCUUACUCAAAUUCUCACUCGCCGUGUACAAGCCAAUGUGUUGCCACUCAAGGAUUUUCUCUAAAAACAAACUUAUGUCAAGCUUUAGGAUACAAUGUUUUAGUGAGUUUAUAUGCUCCUUUAACCAUGUCUGUUAUACAUGUGAUAAUGUAGGAGUAUUUAGUUAAUCAAGUUGAUGCCAGUAUAUAUACAUAUAUUUUUUUAAA